rnacentral:sRNA from 1 species
CCAGUGUUCCACCAAC